ACUGGUGUCAGCCGCCGCGGUAAUACCAGCUCUCCGAGUGGUAGGGAUGAUUAUUGGGCUUAAAGCGUCCGUAGCCGGCUUAGCAAGUCUCCUGUUAAAUUCAGCGACCUAAUCGUUGAGCCGCGGGAGACACUACUAGGCUAGGAGGCGGGAGAGGCCGACGGUAUUCUCGGGGUAGGGGUGAAAUCCUAUAAUCCCGGGAGGACCACCAGUGGCGAAGGCUGUCGGCUAGAACGCGCUCGACGGUGAGGGACGAAAGCUGGGGGAGCGAACCGGAUUAGAUACCCGGGUAGUCCCAGCUGUAAACGAUGCGGGCUAGGUGUUGGGGUGGCUACGAGCCACUUCAGUGCCGCAGGGAAGCCAUUAA
rnacentral:rRNA from 1 species